rnacentral:rRNA from 1 species
GACGAACGCUGGCGGCGUGCUUAACGCAUGCAAGUCGAACGGAAAGGCCCUGCUUUUGUGGGGUGCUCGAGUGGCGAACGGGUGAGUAAAACGUGUGUAACAUGCACUUGACUUAGGGAUAUCUCUAGGGAACUGGGGCUAUUAUCGGGUAGAAGCUCUUGCUGCAUGGUGGGGGUUGGAAAGUUUCGGCGGUUGGGGAUGGACUCGCGGCUUAUGAGCUGGUUAGUGGGGUAGGGAUUUACAAAGGCUAUGACGGGUAGCCGGCCUUAGAGGGUGGACGGCCACAUGGCGACUAAGAGACGGCGCAGUCGCCUACGGGAGGCAGCAGUGGGAAGUAUUACACAAUAGGGGGAAGCCUGAUGCGACAGCGCUGCGUGCGUGAUGACGUCCUACUGGUGAUAAACCGCUUUCGCCUUAGAUGAAGAGUGAGUGACGGUAAUUGGUAAAGAAGCACCGGCUAACUACGUG